UUUGCCGGAUUAGCUGAGAGGUGGUGCAUGGCCGUCGUCAGUUCGUACUGUGAAGCAUCCUGUUAAGUCAGGCAACGAGCGAGACCCACGCCCACAGUUGCCAGCGUACUCUCCGGAGUGACGGGUACACUGGUGGGGACCGCCGCUGCUAAAGCGGAGGAAGGAAUGGGCAACGGUAGGUCAGUAUGCCCCGAAUAUCCCGGGCUACACGCGAGCUACAAUGGUUGGUACAAUGGGUAUCUACCCCGAAAGGGGACGGGAAUCUCCUAAAACCAAUCUUAGUUCGGAUUGAGGGCUGCAACUCGCCCUCAUGAAGCUGGAAUCCGUAGUAAUCGCGUUUCAACAGAACGCGGUGAAUACGUCCCUGCUCCUU
rnacentral:rRNA from 1 species